rnacentral:rRNA from 1 species
UACGUAGGGUGCUAGCGUUGUUCGGAAUUAUUGGGCGUAAAGAGCUCGUAGGCGGUUUGUUGCGUCGGCUGUGAAAUCCCGAGGCUCAACCUCGGGUCUGCAGUCGAUACGAGCAAACUAGAGUGUUGCAGGGGAGACUGGAAUUCCUGGUGUAGCGGUGAAAUGCGCAGAUAUCAGGAGGAACACCGGUGGCGAAGGCGGGUCUCUGGGCAACAACUGACGCUGAGGAGCGAAAGCGUGGGGAGCGAACAGG